CUUUCCUUAAAGAGUAAUGACUUAUUUUGACAUGCGGUCACAUUGCUUGUGGAUCUUUCAAUGACAUUCUAUUCAGAAGAAACAUAGUAUCUGCCUCCAAUUUGUCCCAUGUUCUGACACUAAGACACACUGACAUUUUAUGUUGACCUGAUGUAGUUUUCAGAGAAGAUGUAAGCAGACCCUCAGUGGCUGAGGAAACAGCAGUAGGAUGCUGAGAAUUUGGCAGGUGAUAUCACAGAUACGAUGUGCUGGAAGGCAGGGGAAGACUUUUCUGGACACUUUAACUCUUUUUCUACUGCAUUCCCAGCAUCUAAGGACACCAUCCUUGUGGGGAAGGGGAUCUGAGAUGAUUGAUAGCGGUCAUUUUAACAAGGAACACAGAUACUUUCUACUAUUGUAAAGCAAGAGACAGAAGAGAAUUCGUUGAGUUGAAAACUACAGCCAAUUAGGGAAGAGAAAAAUGCUACACUGGCUCUUUGAUCUUUAUCAAAUAAUGUAGCCUUGUGUUGUGUGCAAGUAGGGUCUGUGCCCUGGAGGACAGGACUCUGGGAGGAAGGAGUCCUUCUGAUACCAGUGAUUCCAUAAAGAGACAGCUCCUGGCAGAAAACGAUUGAUUUUUUGUGCAGACUGACUAACGUGACCAGUAACACAGCAGAGAAUCGAGAAGGAAAGAAGAGCUGUUUGGGUAAAAGAAGUGAAGUCGGAAGAGAUUCAGGCUGAAGCAGCAAACUGUGGUUUGUAUAUUUUCUGUUGACCUCCUUUGUGGUUUUAAUGAUUAGUGGUUUAUUUUUCUCCCCUUUAAAUGUAUCCGCUGUGACCCCAAAGAAGUGUGUUUUUUGUCAAGAGGCAGUGAGUCUGUGUUUCAAGAGACUCAGUUGCAAUCUAGCCUAAAUUAUAGAGACAUUUUGAGGCAUUCUCAGUCUAUCUACUUUUCAUACCACAGGAGAUGAGGUAGCUGUCCUUUUAGGGAUGACUUUUAUGAAGAUUCUGUCGUUACCAUUAUUUGAAUAAGUUCGGUGCCCACAGGCAUGUAACCUAAAUCAGAGCUGCAGAUGAAACUUCAAACACACAUUCUUACGGGCUUGGAGGAUGAGUCGCGUUUGGGGCAAGGGUGGGGGUGCUGCUUUUGGACAGUGGUAACUGUUACAUUCCUCUCAGCCACGUAGAUGUUUUGUCCACUUUGGCUAAUUAAGGACUCUGGCAGUGACAAAAUCAUCCCCUAUGUGAGAGAACCUCACUGUGUAAAGUUUUGACUGGGGUUCUGGCGGAGAUGUCACAAAAUCCCCCUUUCUUGUCACAAAACUACAGAUUCCUGCCAAA
rnacentral:lncRNA from 1 species